UGGGCGCAAGCCUGAUCCAGCCAUGCCGCGUGUGUGAAGAAGGCCUUUUGGUUGUAAAGCACUUUAAGCGAGGAGGAGGCUACUUAGACUAAUACUCUAGGAUAGUGGACGUUACUCGCAGAAUAAGCACCGGCUAACUCUGUGCCAGCAGCCGCGGUAAUACAGAGGGUGCAAGCGUUAAUCGGAUUUACUGGGCGUAAAGCGUGCGUAGGCGGCUUUUUAAGUCGGAUGUGAAAUCCCCGAGCUUAACUUGGGAAUUGCAUUCGAUACUGGGAAGCUAGAGUAUGGGAGAGGAUGGUAGAAUUCCAGGUGUAGCGGUGAAAUGCGUAGAGAUCUGGAGGAAUACCGAUGGCGAAGGCAGCCAUCUGGCCUAAUACUGACGCUGAGGUACGAAAGCAUGGGGAGCAAACAGGAUUAGAUACCCUGGUAGUCCAUGCCGUAAACGAUGUCUACUAGCCGUUGGGGCCUUUGAGGCUUUAGUGGCGCAGCUAACGCGAUAAGUAGACCGCCUGGGG
rnacentral:rRNA from 1 species